AGGGAAAGCCGGUGUGAAACCGGAGCUGUCCCGCAACCGUGAGCCGCCAGCGCGGCAAGCCGGAGCACCU
rnacentral:ncRNA from 1 species